rnacentral:lncRNA from 1 species
GAAAUCUUCUCCUAAUCUCCUUCCCGUCAAGCCGCAGCAGAGAAAAGCAAAUCGGAAACCAUUCUUGAGUUCUUUUUUCCCCAAUUCCUUUCGCUCAAUUCCUUCCCAAAAGCUCUCCACGCAGGCACCGACGCACGUUCCAAUUUCAGUAAAUAUUUUUGAUCGACAACUCUGCUAUGUGAUCUAUGAAGUCCCGAGUACACCGCAGGUACUGGCUUUUUUUUUUUUUUGCUUAUUUAUUACACGCGCAAAGGAGUUUAAUUUUCCAAUUUUGGGUUAGUUUAAUUUUCUAGUUUUUUUCCUGAUAAUAGAUUCUUUGUUGAGUGAGGUUUAAAAAAUUGGAAAUCAAAUUGUUUCAUGAAGUAGACAUUAGACUAAUAGUUUAAUUUUCUAGUUUUGGGUUACUUGUUGGUAGAUUCAUUCCGUGCUCUUUACUUUGAAUGAUCUGAUUGAUUGGAAAAUUUAUUAUGUAUUUAUGCAAAUUGUAGAGACUCAAUUGGUUUAGAUUUGAUUAAUUGACAAUUGUUUAGGGAACAUCAUAAUUAUUGAAAAAGUUUACAUUAUUGCAACGUUUUCAAAAUAUGAGACCAUGUAGAAUUCAGUUGUUUAAAUUUACAAUUACAAAGUAAGAUUGAAAUUGUAUUGUAUAUUUUUAUUAUUAUUUUGGGUUGUAUUGAACUAUAUUUUCAUAUUUAUAUAAUUUUUACGUUUUGGUGGAUUUACGUAUAUAUUGACUAAUUUUUAAUAUUAUUUAAUCAAAUUUUAAUAAACUACCGAUCGUCGGUCAAAUCAGACUUUUACGAUCGUUGAUUGUCGACAACUAAUGGUCAAAGUCAACAUCCGCCCUAUCUGAAUGUUCAUGCUAGAUUCAUCCCUGAAUGUUGUAGAUGACUUUAAUUUGAAGUGCUCUCCUAUGUUUGACCCAUGAUUUUGUCACUGUCGGAACUUUUCUAUUAUUUUUUGUAACAUUUAUUUGAAAAUUGGCUGCAACAUAUCCAAUUGAAAUUAUGUGUUCAAUUAGAUAGUAAACAACUCCAUCAUAUUCUGAACUUAUUGAACAGAAUUUCAAAUAUAUUUUCCGUCUAUUGGCAAAUCUGGAUAGUUCUUUUAUGAAUAUGUCAUCAAACUUUGAAAUUUCAAUCAAAUCUUUUCCUAGAUAUAUCAAAUCCGUGAAUCCAUAGUCUGCCAUAAUUUUUAUAAAUGAAGGGUCUCCUCCUUCCAUGGCUGUUAUCCUAAGAUAGACUUUAUUUCCCGGAGAGAUGAAAUAUGAAUCACUCAUUUUUAUUUCAUAAGCAAUUUUGACUAUUUCGAUAUAUUUUUCUUCUUUUAGAUCUAAAGGGAUUUUAUCUUAUUGGUCUAUAAUGCUGAUUGUUUUGGUAUCUCUUUUAUCUUCAUGUAUCAUAACUUUUUUGGUUGAUUAUAUUGAAAUUGAAUCUCCUUUAUUAUUAGUUGGUAUGUUGUCACGUCUGAGUCUACUGCUGCUUUCAGCUAUCCCUGUUUGGUAUUGGUUUGGAAAACUAAUUUCUAAGUUCUUUGGUAUAUCUGUUUCAAACAGUAUAUCUUUUAGUUGUGCUGCAAUAUUAUCAACUUGAUUUUGAGUUCUAUGGCAUAUUUAUAAUGCUCAAUAGUGAUAUUCAACAAUAUUUUUAUAUUUGAAUUGAACAUAUCUGAGAUCUGGGUUGAUCCAGAGUUUAUAUCUUCGAAUUUUUUUUUAAGAAAAUCUGUCAUUUUUUGUAUAUUUAGAAUAUAUUGGUAUAAUUCUGUAACCUUGGCUUUAUCCAUUAGCAAAUUCUAUAUUUCUACUAAGAAAAUCUACAAAAAAUUAUUAACUCCUUUAAUAUGGACAAUAUCAAAGUUAUAAAAUGCUAAAUAAGCUUGCCAUCUAUGAAGUCUUCUGUAUUGAGGUUCUGAUGGUAAUUUAUUCCUGACUAAUCUUGCAACUUGAGAAUUAUCAGUCUCAACAGUAAAUUUAUUGGAUAAUAAAAAUGAACUUCUUUAUUUCUCUAAUAAUUGCUAGUAAUUCUUUCUCAUGGGUAAUAUAAUUUAUUUCUGUUUAGUUAAAAGUUCCACUUGAAUAUCUACAAAUUUCAUUUAGAUAUGUUUUUAAUAUUGCUGCCUAAUUAUUUAUCUAAGGCAUCUAUAUUAAUAAUCAAAUUAUCCUUUUCAUCUGAUAAUCUUAAUUUUGGUAAAUUUUUGCAUUCUUCUUUUAAUAAUUUAACUAUUUCUGUAUGUUCUCCAUUCCAUCCUUUAGUAUUUGUUUUUCUAAGCAAUACUUGGAUUUUAUGUCUUUUCUUAAAAAUAUUUUCAAUAAAUCAUUCUGCAUAAUUUAAACAUCCUAAAAAAAUUUAUAUUUGUUCUUUGGAUUCUAAUUUAUCAGGAAAACUUUCUAUCUUUUUGAAUAUAUGAGUCUGUAAUUUUAUCCCUCUUUUAUCUAUUGAUAAUCCAAGAAAUUCUAUCUCUUAUUUUUCUAUUAUAGAUUUCUUUUUAGAUAGUAUAAUUCCUUCUUUUUUACAUUCGUUAAUAAAUUGGAUUAAAUAAUUUCUAUGUUUUUCUUUACUAUUAGAAUAUAUUAAUAUAUCAUCUAUUUAAACAAUUAGAAAUUUGUGGUGCAUUUUAAAUAUAUUAUCCAUCUUUCUUUGAUAUAUUUGUAGUGCAUUUUUUCGACCAAAUGUCAUAACUAACCAUUCAUAUUUUUCUUGAGGUAUGCUAAAUGCAGUAUAUUAUAUAUUAUCUUCUUCCAUUUUUAUUUUGUCAAAAUUAUGAUUUACAAUCAAAUUUAGAAUAAUAUUGUUUUCUUUUUGCAAGAUUUAUUAACACUUCUUUAUUUGGUAGAAAGUAACCAUCAAAUUUAGUAUAUUUGUUUAAUUCUUUAUAAUUUAUCACCAUCCUAUCUUUUCCUCUAGUUUGUUCAGAAUGUUUCAUAACCAUAAAGGCUGGACUACUAUGAGGUCCGUUACUAGGUCUAAUAAGUUUUUAUUCUAACAAUUUCUUUAUCUGAUUUUUAAAUUCUUGUGUAUCUUCUAUAGUAUACGUUGUUGAUAUCCUAACUCCAAUCUGGUAAAAACAAGUUCGCUAAACCCACCUCAGUUAAACGUAAGUUCGGCCCACACUCUCAGGUCGGAGUUACUCGCCGUUAUCUUAGAAAAAUAUCAUGAUUACCCCUUGUCACAUCACCCUAUCAAUCAGAGACACUUGCCACAAGUGAUGUCAUCGCUGCCUAGGACAACCAAUCCGAAGUCCUCGAGUUUUAGUCCCUUACAAGUCAUCAUUACCUGGGUAAUACAUUGACACAUGACCACCGACCUUAUUGACCAAUCACAAGAGAAUUCGGCGACCCGAGUUCCGAGCUCGACACUGUUACUGAUUUGAUUGAUUUGAUGUAAUUUUGGCUGAAACUAUGUAUAAAUAGUUGAAUAGGACCGUUGUAAAGGUAGGACAAAUUCAGAUAACGACUUAUGGCACUAUCACAUCUUUGUGAUCUGUUCUAAGCAUGAAUUACAUUUUUUCUUAAAGUUGGUUCAAAAUUAUCCUUGCUUAUUUUGACGUCAACAGUUUGGCGCUAGAAGGAGGGCCCUAAUUGUGAAAAAUAGUUUCAUUUGCUCCAAAAACAAAAACAAAAAAAAGGAAAAUUUCAAGAGCCAUGAGUCACAGCUCAAGUUCCAAAAAUCCAUCUCACACCCACCAUCACGAAACGAAUAUACCACUGAGUUCUCCACAAUGGCAGGACCCUCAAAUGAUCGCAAUGAGGGAGGCCCUAGAAAAAUUGACAAAUGCAGUAGGACGACUAGAUAGGAGCCAAGCUCAUUCGUCCCCACCAGAUACCGAGGUGGAAUCCCCUAUAAGGACAAAGGCAAGGCGUCCCCCUACCAGGAGGACUCUCCACUUUUCAAGGGGAGAAUAAUUAAGAAGCCAAACCGACGAGGUCAAAAGCAAGGAACCUGAGGCGAGAAGGACUGCAGGUGUGUUUGACAUAUUGGGAACCCAUCACUCGCUGACCCCUACGCAAGGACAAACCGACCUGAAACGUCCUAUGGAACAAACAGAACCCGAACUAAGCAAGCUUAAAAAAUGCAUCUCCGAAUUGGAGGCUAAAAACAAAGGUAGCACAGAAGGUUACCAAACCAAACGACAUUCCCUCUUCACCGAGGAUGUCCUUAUAGAAUCACUGCCUGAAAAAUUGAAAAUUUCCCAAAUCACUGCUUACGAAGGAGAUAGUGACCCCUCAGCCACCUUGACAAAUACACAUCGUGGAUGGAACUGUAGAGGGCAAGCAACGUAAUCAUGUGCCGGGCAUUUCCCCUGACUCUAAGAGACAAAGCCCAAAGAUGGUUUAGGAGACUACACGAAAGGUCGGUAAAAGAUUGGAAUGAUCUGGCCAUGGCCCAGUUUAUGGGCUCCAAGGCUAGAACUACACCCAAAGAACGUCUAGUGAGCGUCAAGCAGGGAAAAAGUGAAUCCCUCAAAAGCUAUCUGAGUAGGUUUAACAAGCAAUCCAUGGAAGUGGAAAAAAUAUCUGACGAUGCGGCACUCAUGGCUGUAUUAGCAGGACUAAGACCCAAAACGAGAUUCUGGUGGUCAGUACAUGAUGACGGUCUAAGGACUUAUCACGAGUUCCUGAACCGAGCUGAGAAAUACAUAAGCGCUGAAGAAGCAACCUCUGACCAAGAGGAACCAAGACGCAAAAUUGACCUCAGUGGUGUGGUGAAAGAAAAAAAACUAAGCCACAGUCCUCAACCAGAAAGAAGGAAGGACAAGAGAGAAAGAGAACGUCCCAGGACUCAGCCAUACAAGUUUCAGGAGUACCACCCACUCAAAGCCUCCUUGGAAGAGGUAUUCACGCAAGCAAAUACAAAAGAAGCAUUUCGCAGACCUAUAGUCCUAAAGGACGGACAGGCCACACAACGCCAGGGACAAUACUAUCGAUACCACAGGAUGAUAGGCCAUGAUACUGAUAACUGUCGGGACUUAAAAGAGGAAGUUGAAUCCUUAAUUCGACGAGGUUGGUUACAGGAGUUUGUUACCAAGUCAAAAGAAGCAUAUCGACCUACGAUGCAGCAGCCACAGCUACAAGGGGCCCCCACACGAGCCCAACAGGCGAUCUUUAACCGUAACCCACCUCCACAUGCUAAAAUCAAAAUGUUGGUGGGUGGAAAUCAGUUUAUUGAAGGAUCUAGAAGGGUUAAGCGAAGGCAAGCCCUAAGUGCAAAAACCGUGCCGAACUACUGGAAUCAAAUCCCUAUGACCGGCAUUGACCCUGAAUCGUUCUGGUUCACGGAAGAAGAUUAUCAAGGAAUCCUCCAAGACCAGAGUGACGCACUGGUGGUCACAAUUAUGGUCGCCGGGGUAAAAGUCCAUCACACUCUAGUGGACAAUGGAAGUUCGGUCAACAUACUGUACUCAUAAACAAAUAUCAGUUCGCUACCUCGAACCGUAUCCAAGGAAGCUACAGGGAUUUUCUGGGGAUCCUAUCGAAGCCCUGGGUCAGAUAGUCCUUAGUGUGGAGCUGGCGAAGCUCCUCGCCAAAGAAGAGUCUUAGCGGAUUUUGUGGUGGUCGAUCUACCCUCCAAUUACAAUGCAAUAUUGGGACGGCCCAUUUGCACGAACUAAAGGCUGCCACGUCAAUUUAUCAUUAUUGCGUGAAAUUCUCCACCCUUUACGGGACUGAAAUUAUCCAAAGGGAUCAAGCUACUGUAAGGGCCUGUAACGUUGACCUGCCAAGGCCACAAGUUAACAUGCUGAGGAGUAGGACGAACACACAAGCCGAGGAAGCCAGACCAAAGAGACCAAUAGUUGCAGAUCUCUCGAAGAUAGGCAUAACGGAAAAGAAUCUCAAAAAAGCCACAGACGAGCAACUAUCUUUUAACGAGAAGGAGGCAGACCCACACCCUUACCACGGAGUUAUGGUAAUCUCAUUGUCUGUAGCCAGGGUAACCAUCCCCAAAGUCUUGGUGGAUACAGGAAGCUCUCUGAACAUCCUAUUUAGCCACACCCUUAAAUGGAUGGGUAUCCCUGCUAACUUUCUUCAACCAUACCCAAAUAUGGUCUUAGGAUUAAGCGGAGAACUGACUUUUGCCAAAGGAUUGAUCAAACUCAAAGUCGAGUCUGGAUCACCACCACGGCAGUUGAAGACGAACUCCGAGUUUGUGGUGUUCGACACCCCCUCCCCUUAUGACGUUGUGAUGGGACAGCCCCUACUCUUCAGCCUGAGAGCAGCAGUUUUCCUAUAUCAAUAUUCUAUCAAGUUUCCCACACCCCAUGGUGUGGGGGAAGUCAAAUGAAACAGGGAGCUUGCCAAAAGAUGCCAAUAGAAUACCUGUACCAGCCAUCAACGUACCUCCCUGGGGGUACAUAUAGCAAACAUAUGGGAAUCCAAACUCAUUCCCUUAGACCCAAGGACCAGAAUCGAAGGCGGAAAACCCGUAGAAGAACUAGAAAGAGUUCGAGUCUGUGCCAUGGACCAAACAAAGGAACUCAAAGUUGGGUGCGAGUUGCAACCCUCCACCCGAAACAAGAUUGUGGCUUUCCUUAAAGAGAACCUCGAUGUCUUCGCCUGGGAUCACAGUGACAUGAGAGGAAUAUAUCCUAAUAUUGCAUGCCACAAAUUACAGGUGGAUCCUUCAGCUCGGCUAAAGCAGCAAAAACAACGACAUCUGAAUCCUGAAAGAUAUGAAUCACUUAACAAAGAGGUACAAAAGCUGUUGAACAAUGGUUUCCUCCGUGAAGUGAAAUACCCGAAGUGGGUCGCGAACCCAGUCCUUGUAAAAAAAACACAACGGAGAUUGGAGGUAUGCAUAGAUUUCACCGAUCUCAAUAAAGCAUGCCCCAAAGAAAGCUUUCCAUUACCGAGAAUAGAUCAAAUGGUGGACGCCACCGCUGGACAUGAGCUGCUCAGCUUCAUGGAUGCGUAUUCCGGAUACAACCAGAUACCGAUGUACGACCCGGAUCAGGAACAUGCCUCGUUUGUAACUAAUCGAGGUCUUUACUGCUACAGAGUAAUGCCAUUCGGUCUAAAAACGCUGGCUCCACCUACCAGCGACUUGUGAAUUCCAUGUUUUCCCAGCAGAUUGGAAAAACAAUGGAAGUGUAUGUUGACGAUAUGCUGGUCCAAAGUAUCAAGGCCAAGGACCACUGUUAACACCUAACAAAAAUGUUUGAUAUACUGAGGAAGUAUGGAAUGAAGUUGAACCCGAGGAAAUGUGCUUUCGAGGUCAGUUCUAGAAGAUUCCUAGGUUACAUUGUAAACAACCGAGGAAUUGAGGUGAACCCUAAAAAAAUACAAGCUAUCAUCCAAAUGAAACCUCCAACCAAACCCAGAGAAGUACAAAGUUUAACCAGAAGGGUUGCGGUCCUCAAUCAGUUUGUCUCCAAAUCUACGGACAACUACAAACCCUUCUUCGACACGUUACGAGGUAGAAAGAAGUUCGAAUAGACCAAAGAAUGCCAGGACGCCUUUAACGAGCUAAAAAGACAACUAGCCCGACCUCCAGUGCAUUCAAAACCUAAGGCAGGCGAGGCCUUGAAGAUAUAUUUAUUUGUUUCAGAGCACGCCAUUAGUGUAAUUCUAACCCGAGAAGAAAAUGGCGUUCAACGUCCGGGUUAUUAUGUAAGCAAAGCGCUUCACAAAGCUGAACUCAGACAUUCAGUUGUAGAAAAACUAGCAUUCGCCCUGCUGAUGGCAGCACGAAAACUGAGACCAUAUUUCUUGGAAUACCCCAUUGAGGUCCUGACCAACUCUCCAUUGAGGCAAACGCUACAAAGGCCCGACACCUCUGGACGGAUGGUAAAAUGGGCAGUGGAGCUCGAACAAUUCGACAUCAAAUACACACCUCGUUCCUCCAUAAAGGGCCAGGCACCCGCCGACUUUGUCUCUAAGUUCUGCAACGUCCCAAUUGAAGAACAACAGAAAGAAACCCCUUGAAAACUUUAUGUCGACGGUUCAUCCACCGGAGAACGAUCUGGAGCCGGCGUUGUAUUAAUCAGCCCUGAUCACCGCAUAUUCUAUGAAGACUUGCCAUUUGACUUCAAAGCCUCAAAUAAUGAGGCUGAGUACGAAGCUCUUAUUCCUGGAGCAAGGAUGGCCUCAGGACUAGGGAUCUCAGACCUAAUCCUACACAGCGACUCACAACUAGUCAUGAAUCAGGUCAACGGUGUAUAUAUGUCGAAAGAAGACAGGAUGGACAACUACCUACGAGUUGCAAAAAAGAACUUGAAAGGUUCAAAACAACCCAAGUCAAACAAAUUCCCCAAUCUCAGAAUAAUCACGUCGAUGCAUUGGCCCGCCUAGCCACCAGUGAGGGAAUUGAGGAGUUCGAUAACAUUCCCGUAGGAAGAAUAUCCCAACCGUCCACCGAGCUUGAUAAAGUGGUCCUUAUGAUGAUAGAUCCCAAACCAACUUGGCAGGACGAGAUCAUCGGUUACCUGAAAAUCGAAAAAUACCCCGAAAACUCUACAGAGGCUAGAAAGCUUCGAACAAGGUCGGUUAGAUACACUCUCAUUGAUAAUAUACUACACAAACGGGCAUAUUCCACGCCCUUGUUAAGAUGCUUGAAUGAAACGCCCUGAAAGAUGCUCACGAUGGAAUAUGUGAAAACCCUUCCGGCGGACUCUCACUAGCCCACAAGAUCAUACAGCAAGGAUUCUUUUGGCUUGCAAUAAGACAAGAUUCCCUUAAAUUUGUCAAAAGAUGCGAUAAAUGCCAGCUCCUCGCCCCCAUCAUAAACACUCCACCGCGCGAACUGAACCCAGUGAUAUCACCUUGGCCCUUUGCAAAAGCGGGGUUGACCUAAUUGGACCCAUGCCCGUUGGAAAAUGAGGUGUAAAAUUCGCCAUCGUCGCAGUGGAUUACUUCACUAAAUGGGCCGAGGCAGAGCCCCUUGCCACUAUCACCGAACAAAAAAUAACCAAUUUUUUGUGGAAAUCAGUGAUCUGCAGGUUCAGCAUACCUCACUCCAUUGUUACAGAUAAUGGAAAACAGUUCGACAACGCACGACUGUCGAAUUUCUGCGAAGAGCUCGGCAUCAAGAAACAUUUCAAGCAAACGACCAAGUCGAAGCCAUUAACAAGAUUAUUAAGCACACAUUGAAAGCAAAACCCGGCUUGUUUAAAGGAGGAUGGGCUGAGGAACUCCCCAAUGUGUUAUGGUCUUAUCGUACUACCGCAAGGACAAGCACAGAAGAAAUCCCGUUUUCACUGGCUUUCGGCAUAAAGGUCGUGAUCCCAUUAGAAAUCAACAUUCCUUCGUUGCGCAUAACUGAUUACGACGAAGAAAGGAACGACAUAGCUCUUCGCACAGAACUCGACCUAACCGAGGAAAAAGGAACAACGUCGAACUCAAAAAUGCCGUUUACAAAUAGCGAAACGCCAAGUACUAUAAUCAAAAAGUACGGAAAAGAGAAUUUGAGGUAGGAUCCCUUGUCCUAUGAAAAAUAUUCCUCCCCAUAAGAGAGAUUGGCAGUGGAUGCCUAGGGCCGAAUUGGGAAGGUCCUGCUAAAAGGAGCGUAUGAACUGGAAGACUUGGGGGUAGAUCCUUACCCCACCCUUGGAAUGCCGAACACCUUAAGCAGUACCACCAGUAAAUGGAAAAAGUCCUCUUGUAACGUCAAUCACAUCAAUAAAAAGGGACUUUCCAUUUCUUUUGAAUGUUUUACUCAGCAAUCUGUCAGAAUCUCAUUAAACUCUGUUCCAUACGUAGGCCGAUCUAAGGUCGUAUGUGCUGCGACACUUAGUGAAAAAUUCCUCCCAAAGAAUCUCAUUAAGCCCUGCUCUAUCAGCAGGCUAAUCUAAGGUCGUAUAUGCUGGACACUUAGUGAGAAAUUCCUCCCAAGGAAUCUUAUUAAGCCCUGUUCCAUGAGCAGGCCGAUCUAAGGUCGUAUGUGCUGUGACACUUAGUGGAAAAUUCCUCCCAAGGAAUCUCAUUAAGCCCUGCUCCAUGAGCAGGCCGAUCUAAGGUCGUAUGUGCUGCGACACUUAGUGGAAAAUUCCUCCUAAGGAACCUCAUUAAGCCAUGCUCCAUACGCAGGCCGAUCUAGGGUCGUAUAUACUGCGACACUUAGUGAAAAAUUCCUCCUAAGGAAUCUCCCCUUCUAAGGAACCUUUAGAGCCCUACCCUUCACGAUUGGAAGAGGUAAGGCCAUACGUGGUACUACACUUAGUAAAAAUGUCCAACGAAUAUGCCUGGUUCGAAAAGUGAGUACUAUGCAACUAAGCGAAAUUCAUUCAAAGUAAUUCUACACUCUAUUGUAACACUCUUACAAUUUUUGCUAAAUCUAUGAGGAAAAGAUGUAUUAAACAUAAACAAAUUAUCCAUUCCAAAACAAAAUGUCGUAAACAAUCAAAACAAGGUUCAAAUCACAAGUCUAAGAAAACCAAAAAAUCAAUGUUUUUUAAAUCGCCUAAGGGUCUUGGGGGGCAAGGGUAGUAUCUUCAACAUCCUGAGCUGCCGGUAACACCCGGACUCCAGCAGACUCCGACAACUUUCGCAACUCCUCCUUCUACCCCUCCAGUGCCUCAUCCAAAAAGGCCACAUCAAGAUCAGGCCUCUUCUUCCUGAUGUGCCCCACCAACUCCUCCAGGGCCACAACGUACACGUCCUAGGCCACCACGUCAAACUUAGAGGACUCUUUCCAGGCCUCCACCGCCCUGUCGAUCUUGGCCUCAACCUCUUCGGGCCUUUUUGUGGCCUGCCUCGCCCUUUCAUUGGCCUCUUAUACUUUCUGGAUGGUCUCUCUAACUUUGCCAUGCUCCUCUUCUACUCGAGCUCUAGCCUCUUUCUCCGAGGCCCUCAACGCCUUGAUCUCUUCCAUCAGUCGCUCCUCAACAUCGAGCCUGGAGUUCAGCUCGAUCCCCAUCUGGUUCAGCUUCUCCUCAAACUCCUUCUCCCUCAAAGCAAACUGGGCUUUUUCAGCCUCCAUGCUAUUGUAAAGGUUGAAGGCCUAAUCUUUUGCCUCUAUGAGUUUGUCCAGCUCGGACUUCGCCUAUUUUUCAAAAAUCAAGUAAGUUAUUAAGGCAUUUAUAAAAUUAGUCAAAAAAAUAAGUAAAAGGUAUACCUUAUUCGCCACUGUCAUCAUGUACAAAACUGAUCGGUGGCCAUGGAGCUGAGCAGUGACCAAAGCCUCGCCAAUGGGCAUUUCGUUCAGAUAGCUCAGAUAGCCCUGCUCUCUCUCACCCCAACUCCGGGUAAGUAGAUUGGCCGACUCCCUCAAAGGCGAAGUGAGCGCGGCAGGUAUGCCCCUGAAAGGAGAAGGAACUCGGAGAUAGUCCAGAAAUAUCUCUAUGUCCCACCAGACUUUCCCAGCUUGGCCUUUGUAAAUCUAGGCACCAAUCUUGCAAGUUCGCAGAACUAGUCCCCACGGUAGAAGGGGCAACCGGGAGAUGGCAACGAGGGAGACAGCAGGGUCUGGCUCGGCAAAGGCACUGCCUCUGGAAUUCUCAGUGACGCCAGGGGUGCAGAUCGAUUCCUCUUUAAUGGAAACCUCCUCCUCCACCUCCUUAGAACGGCUCUCCAUCUGUUCUAGGACUUCUCUCUUUUUUUCCCUUUGCUGCAACAGCCGCCAUAGCUGCCUUGUAGCCCCCGCAUUUCGUCCUGAUGACCUAAAAAAAUGAAAUGCUCAAAAAAUAUGUAAAUGCAUAAAGACAUUAUAACCACGAAUGAAGAUCAAAAUAUUACCUAAACUGGAUGGAGCCGAACUUGAAGCUCGUACUUGCAGCAGUCCAACCCGGUAUAAGUUCGAAUCUGAGAUUACAAACUUACAUGACCUUUGCUUUUUAGGUAACGAUCUUAUUUUCUCAGCUCUUCUCUGAGUAUCUUUGGUUAACGUCUCCUUCUUGAAAUCUACACAAAGAAAAAUAUCGAGGUCAGUACUUCGUCAAGCAUACGCCUUGCUAAAAGACUAAAACCCAAAAAGACACUUACAUAACGAAUGAUAGAGCCUGGGAACCACGUCCUCCCUAUUCACCUCGACAGAAUGAAAUUGCCACUCCCCCGAUACAUAAAACCAUUCUUCCUUCCAUUUCUUAAUUGAGGAAGGGAUGUCUAACACCAAUGAACCUUUCGUCCUGAGCCUAACGCUUGUGUACCACCAGCCCGAGUUCUUCCCAUCCUCCUUAAAAGUAAAUAGAGAUACCCCAUUUGCUCCCACAGAAUAAGGGUAGCUAUUAAAGUUCGCCACCUAUUAGGGCAUAGCUCCGUAGCUAUUAAAGUUCACCACCCAUUAGGGCAUAGCUCCCACGGAGCUAUGCCCCAAGAAGAAAGAAAUUUACGAACCACCCUAGGAAAAGGAAGCCUAAGGCCAGCCUGGAGGAUAGCCGAGUUCAGAGCAACACAUCCCUCAGGAGGUGUGUCAGCUCGGUCAGAUAGCUCUGGUAUUAUCAUAACUACCGAACUAGGAAUGACGUACUUAGCUCGCCAGCUGGCCAACACAUCCCUUGUCACAACUGACCUAUAAGAGCUCGCCCCCUCACUUCUCGGAAUUACUCUCCUCAACAUCCUUACUGGAUCCCCCUACUCCCUUGGAACCCUCACGUCCUAAGUUCAUCACAAGAUGCCCUAGGUCAGUUGGGUUAACUACAGAAAUAGGAAUAGGGGUAAAAACUUCCCUAUAACCAGAAGACAAACUCGUUGAGAAGGAAACUGAAUCUUCCUACUGGUUGCCCCAGGAAUGAACCCUAGACUCGUCCGAACUCAUGUAUAAACUAAGAAAAGAAGCACAAACUGAAAGGAGGCAGCAGAUAAGAACAAUAGGAUACCUGGGAGACAAACUGAGAAAACGACCUCACUCGAAUACGGGAAUACGAACUUAGGGAAAUCGCCCAAAUAUCUGAGAGAGUAAAAUCAGCGAAAUAGGAAGAGAAAUGAUUGACCAAAAUAGGAUUUAAAGAAAGGGAAGAUGAGAGGGCGCGAUCUGAGCCAUUCAUCCAGAAAUAGAGGGAAAAUAUCAACGAUCCAAAGGCCUGGGAGACAAAACGAUAUAAUUUUGGCCAAGCUUGCUGAAGAAGCUACUUAUAAAUGGCGUCCAGCUCAUCCACCUCAAAAGAUGACACUUGUCACAGCCAUAAAUGUACUUCUGGGAGAAAUCAUCAUUGAGGUCAGCCCCCCUACAGUAGAGCUGACCUGGGGGGUAACUGUUGACAUCCGAAAUCCGAUCUGGUAAAAACAAGUUCGCUAAACCCACCUCAGUUAAACGUAAGUUCGGCCCACACUCUCAGGUUGGAAUUACCCACCAUUAUCUUAGAAAAAUAUCAUGAUUACCCCUUGUCACAUCACCCUAUCAAUCAGAGACACUUACCACAGGUGAUGUCAUCGCCGCCGGGGACAACCAAUCCGAAGUCCUCGAAUUUCAGUCCCUUACAGGUCAUCAUUACCUGGGUAAUACAUUGACCCAUGACCACCGGCCUCAUUGACCAAUCACAGAAGAAUUCGACGACCCGAGUUCCGAGCUCGGCACUAUUGCUGAUUUGAUUGAUUUGAUAUAAUUUCGGCUGAAACUAUGUAUAAAUAGUUUAAUAGGACCGCUGUAAAGGUAGGGCAAAUUCAGAUAACGACUUAUGGCACUAUCACAUCUUUGUGAUCUUUUCUAAGCAUGAAUCGCCUUUUUUCUUAAAGUUGGUUCAAAAUUAUCCUUGCUAAUUUUAACGUCAACAUACGUUAUUGGUCUGACUCUUAUUAUAAUAUUUUCUGUUAAUUCUAUUUUAACUUUUGGGUGAUGUGGUUUUCAAAAUAAUAAUGAAAUUUCUCCAUAAACUUUUUAUAGUUGUUCAAUUAUUUUUUCUAUAUUCAUUUCUAUUCCUGUUUUUAGAACUUUUUUAUACAAUAUUCUUUUAUUUUUAUUUCAUUAUAUAUGAUUGAUUUUUUCUCCCGUUUAUCACCACGUUAUGCUGACUGAACUUUAUAAAGUUUAAAUUAUCUAGAGAUUUUUAAUAAGUGUCCACAAGGUGUUUGUAGCAUUAUCAUAUAAUUAUUUUGUUUAUAAUAUUGAAAUUAUUGUAUAAAAUUAUUUCCUAAUAAUAUAUCACAUUCUAAUUUAUCAUAAUUAUAUAUUUUAUUUAUUGUAACUUGUUUACUUCCAAAAAUUAUAUUAACUUUAUCAGCACUAUUAAUUAUUUGAGUGCUCUUUCCUGUAACUCCGAUUAUUUUUAUGUUACUAUUAUUAUUCCAUAAUUUUAUUAAAAAACUUUUAAAUAUUGUUAUAUCACUUCUUGUAUCUAUUAAAAUACAAGUUGUUAUAUUUGUUUCUGCAAUAGUAAUUUGCAUAUACACGGCUAAUAAAAAACUUAUUUGAUUAUUCAUCUAAUUCUUUUUACAUAAUGUAGUUUGUCCAUUAUGAACAAUAUAUAAUCAUUCUCUUUUUAUACUAUAAUCUUCUAAUCCAUUUAGAAAACUCAUUCCUAAAAGUAUAUGGGGGUUUAUAUCCAUACAUUUAUCUAUGUAACAUGGUACUAAAAGAUCUAUUUCUCCUAUUUUUACUGGUACAUUAAAUUCUAAAUCUGUAAUAUGUACAUGUCCAUCAAAAUUUACAUACUUAUAUGGCUCAAUUUUAUGAGUUAUUAAACCUUUAUUUCUAAUCGAAGUUAUAUGACAUUCACUAGCUCCUGUAUCAAUUAAUAUAUUUGGUUCAUUUAUAUAUUCUCUUCCAUUAUAAUAUUCUUCUUCUAUUUUCAUAUUUUCAGCAAUCCUAUAUAGUUUUAUUUCUUUUAUUUUGUUGAUUUCUUCUAACUGAUUUUUAUUAGGUAUUUUAAAACUUUUUGAUAUUUUAAUUAAUUUUCCAUCAUUAAAUAUUAUAUCAUUAGAACAUUCUCCUUCAUUUAAUUUUAUUAUUUCAGGUUUAUUUUUUGUUAUGCUAAAUUCAUAUUCUUCUGGAAUUAAACUUAUUUAUUUAUUUGGUUCUAUUAUUUUACCAAUAUUUUUACACUCUUUAUGAACUUCAAUAUAUGGUUUAUUGGAAUAAAUAUUCCUAUAAUUAGAAUUAGUAAAUGCAUAUAAAGCUCUAUAUUCUAUAGUCACAAUAUUUUGGAUAACACGUAAACAUAAUUUUUUAAUAUGCUAAAUUUUCUUCUAUUGUUCCUAGAUGACUAUUUUUUAAAUUUAUUAUUUUUCCAUCAUGUAAAAUUAUAGUUAAUGGUGAGUCUAUCCCUUUUCUGAAUAGCGAUUUAAAUAUUAUUUGUAUUCCUACUAAAUAAACAUAUUGAAUUUUCACUUUAUUUUUUACUAAUCUUUGUUAAUAGUUUUUCAACUGUAUUUUUUGUUAAAAGAUUUAAUUUAUAUUGCUCAUAAGUUGUUCUUACAUCUAUAAGUUUUUCUAUUUUGUGAUAUUCAUUUAUUGUUAUUCUUUCUCUUUUCCAAAUUCUAUAAAAAAAACUUCCCAUUUUUCUAUUUUUAAGUUUAAAGAUAAUUUUUGCAAUUUUUUAAACUUGUUGUUAUCAAAAGUGACUUUUAAUCCAUAUCCUCUAUUCCUUCAUAUUCUUGUAUAUUUAAAUUAGUACUUUCUAUUUCUUCAAUUUCUUUAUUUAGAUCCUGAUUCAUCCUCUAUUUCACUUAUAUAUACUUUUUUAUUAUAGUAUUUUUUAAUAUCUGAUAUUUUACUUAAUUCAUCUUUUAUUUCUAAAUAUUCUAAUUUUCUUUUUAUCACAAUCAGGGCUUAUACGACCUAUUUCUCCACAAUUUCAACAUUUACAUUGGUUUUUAUUUUUCUUUUUAUUUUUCUGUUGAUUAUAUGGGUUAUUUUUUCUUUUGUAAUAUUUUCUUCUAGGUUUUAUAUAUUUUUUAAUUAAAAUUAUAAAUUUUUUAUUUUUAUACUUUUUUUUAUUAAAUCUUCUUUCAGGAUUACAUCCACAUUGCAUAGUGAUUUACAUAUCUUCACAACAUAUUUUAGUUGAUUUUUCUGAUUUUUUCAUUAAUUAUCUUUGUUGACAUAUAUAUGCAAGUCUUUCAAGUAAAAAUUUUAUUCUUGAACCUAAAGUUCUAGGUAUUCCAAUAUUAUUUCUAACAUAUUUUUCAAAUUCUAUUUUAAAAUAUAUUAUCCAUGAACCUGGUAACUUAUUAUAGUACAUGUCUUGAUAUAUUUCUUGAUUUUCAUUACUAUAAAAUUGAACAUAAUAGUAAUUUUUAAAUUCACAAGUAUAUUCUUUAAUUUUACACAUAUCACAUAUUGUUAAAUUUAUUAAUUUUAUUCUAGCAUUAUCUUUUUCUCUUAUUGAUUAUUCUUCAGCAUUUCUUAUCCAAAUUUCUUCUAAAAAUUCAUCUGAAAUAUAUUCUACUAACUUUUCUAUAUCUUGUUUAUCUGACUUUAUUAUUUCUAUUUGUACAUUUCUUUUAUUAAUGUUUUUGUAUCAUUGCUUAUUCAUUCCCACCAAUUUCUAACAUCUUGCUAUUAAGAAAUAUAUUCAUCUUUCAGUAAUUUCCCAUGUGUCAUCUUUAUUAUAUAAAAAGAAUAAUAUCAUUGAAUCUGUCGAAAUUAAUAAGAUUUUUUUAGUACCUAUUUUACAAUUUAAAUCUAAUUUUGUUCCUCCAUGAUUAAUUGGUUUAUCAUAAUUAUCAUUUAAUUCAAACAUAUCUUUAUAAUCAUUUCCUUUAGGUGGUUUUCUAUCUCUUACUUUAUCAUAGAAUUGUCUAUAUGAUUUAUUAUAUAUAGGUGCAUAACUUUUAUCUGUAUCAUGUAAUUCCUGUUUAAAGGCUCCUGCUGGAUUAGGUCCUUCUCCAAUAUUUAUUAAAAUUUGGUAUUCAUUUAUAUCAGUUAAACUUAAUUGAUUAAAAUUUUCUAUUAGUAAAUAUAAUUCUUCAUUCAUUUUUAUCUUCUACUUUUAAUUUUUCUAAUGAUUUUUCUCUAAAUUAUUCUUCCUCUUCUAAUAUUUUUGAUAAUAUAUUCUUUCUAAAUUUAUCAUCCAUACUUCCUGUUCCUAUUACUAUAUUCUCUUUUUCUAUAUGUUUCUUUCCCAUUCGAGUCAUUUCUUUUUUUAUAAGUUUUUUAUCUAUUUUUUCUUAUCUUUAUUUUUAUUAUUUUCUUUUAAUUUUCUAAUUUCAAUUUUUAAUGGAUUUAUAUCGUUUCUUGUUUCUUUUACUUCAUUUCUUAAAUCUCGCAUAUCAUUUAUUAAUAUUUUUAUUAAUGAUUUUAAUUCUUCAAUAUAUUCACUUAUUGACAUCUUAAUUUUUUCUUAUUUCUAACUCAUAGGUUAAUUUGCAUAUUUUAUCUUCCUUUUUAUCUAUUAUUUUUCAAAUCUUCUCUCAACUGUAUCUGGAUCUACUAAUCUUUCUUUUACUAUAGUAAAAUAUCUACUCGUAAAUCUUAAUCUUUCACAUUUUAAUUUUAUUAAUUGUCUAUUAUUUGAUAUUCUCAUUCCUUCUGGUAUUAACAUUAUAUUUCGUAUUUUCUCCUUUUUCAUAAGUAAUUUAUUCAAUUUUAAAUUUGUAUUAUCACUUGCACUCAUACUUUUCUUUGUAAUAUAAAUUAUUUUUUUCAUCUACAUAUAUAUUAAUAAUUUUUUUAUAUGUAUAUAUAUCCUUUAUUUUUUCUAUUAUUAUUUUUUCUAAUAUUUGUUUCUUUAUUUCUUUAGGCAACUCUUUAAUUAUUGUUAGUGUCAUUAUUUUUAAUUUAUUAUGAAUAUGUUUUAAAAAUAUAUAACUUCCCCUCUCUUCUUCUAAACGCCAAUAAUUAUCUAUUUUUCUUAUUUUAAUUUCCAUGAUCUCUAUGCUUUUAUUAAGAUGUAAAUAUUUGUUAUUAUAAUCAAUUAUUAUUUUAAAGAUGUAUAAUCUAAAUAAUCCUUUAAUUUUCUAAUAAUUAAUAUGUUAUUUAUUAAACUUAUAUAAAAUCUAAGUGUUAAUUUAAAUCUAAAGAUUUUUACUUCUUCAAGUAGUCUAUUUUUUAUAGGUUUUCUCAUGAUCUCUAUGACUCUGAUACCAAUAAGGGGGGCUACUUAGAGCGAACAAGAAUCAAAUAAAUCAAAUUAAAAGUAUUAAUCAAAUAAAAACUAUCAAAUUUCAACCAAUAUUUAAUUUUAAGGACUAAAAUAGAGGACUUCUAUAUUAUAGUGUCUUAUUAUGUAAUAUCUUUGGUAUGUAAAUUGACCAAAGGUCAUUUUGGAAAAGUGGUCCUUUUCUAAACUUUAUUUCCAUGUAUUUUCAGUGUGCCUCUUUCAUCAAAUUAUAUGAAUUUUCAAAUACAUGACCAUAUGCAAUAGCGUCAAAACAAAUCAUAACAUGACCUUCAGUUCUAGGGUGAAUGACAGAUCUGGAUUUGCCUUCAAUUAUUGGUAAAAUUACAACGUAAGACUUCAUUUCAGGCACAUCAAACAAUAUCCAUUGUGUUUCCAUCUACAAAUCCGAUCUCGAAAUUCCCAACCCACUGAGUAGACCACCAUGUUUUGAACCUGAAAAUGCAGAGAAAAUCCCUUCCACUAAAUUUCCCAAGGGAGUUUAUUAACGUGUCAGAAGUUCGUCCUUGCUGAAUCCAAGAAAUCCUUUCUUGAAAGACAGUGAAUGGACAUGCUCAAACAGUGAAACGGGAGCAUGAGAGGAUUGGCAUAUUGAAGAAAAACCUUUAAAGAUGACAUUGCUUGGAAUUUCAGUAAGCAGAAGCACAUUUGUCACCCAAAGCUUGCCAUCAACAAGUUCAAAGAGGUUACAUCUUUCGCUGGAUUUGAGGACAUGGAAGAUUGUGUUGGCAGGAUCAUUUGGGGGUGCCAUAGCAAUAGAUAAAGGCAUUAUGCUGUAUAUAUAACCAAAAAAUUGGAACACUGGAGAAACUUCUUGUGAAGAGUUGAACCUUCGAAGAGGCUAACAGGAGAUGAAAGGCUCUCCAAAGCUUCAAACUUGAGAAAUAACCUGUAGAGUUUAAAGUGUAGUUUAUAAAAGAUUAUUACAACUACAAUACGAAAUAAUAAACUAUCAAAGUGUAAAAUCGAACCAAAACGACCCAAAGCUUCUUCAACACCACCAAUGAAGUGUUCUUGAUGUUGAGCUCAGAUUUGUGCAACACCGGAUCAUGCACCGUCAUCCACGGGAAUGACAAUGGAUAUAUCGAGAAAAGACCCACCAGAAGCCACCAAGAAUUUCGCCGGAGUUAUGGAAAGCUCCCACUUGAUUACCUCUCUAUGCUCUCUCUCAAAUAUUAUGCCAAAAUUCAAGUAUGAAAGAAUGAAGAGUUUUCGUAAUUAUAGAGUCAAUUCAUUUGAAUUCAAAAUUUAAAUAUUGUAUUAUGGUUAAGAGAGUGACAAUACUAGUAUAGGUAAUUGA